GGUUAAGCGACUAAGCGUACACGGUGGAUGCCCUGGCAGUCAGAGGCGAUGAAGGGCGUGCUAAUCUGCGAUAAGCGCCGGUAAGGUGAUAUGAACCGUUAUAACCGGCGAUACCCGAAUGGGGAAACCCAGUGUGACUCGUCACACUAUCAUUAACUGAAUCCAUAGGUUAAUGAGGCGAACCGGGGGAACUGAAACAUCUAAGUACCCCGAGGAAAAGAAAUCAACCGAGAUUCCCCCAGUAGCGGCGAGCGAACGGGGAGGAGCCCAGAGCCUGAAUCAGCAUGUGUGUUAGUGGAAGCGUCUGGAAAGGCGCGCGAUACAGGGUGACAGCCCCGUACACAAAAGCGCAUGUGCUGUGAGCUCGAUGAGUAGGGCGGGACACGUGGUAUCCUGUCUGAAUAUGGGGGGACCAUCCUCCAAGGCUAAAUACUCCUGACUGACCGAUAGUGAACCAGUACCGUGAGGGAAAGGCGAAAAGAACCCCGGCGAGGGGAGUGAAAAAGAACCUGAAACCGUGUACGUACAAGCAGUGGGAGCACAGGUUUACCUGUGUGACUGCGUACCUUUUGUAUAAUGGGUCAGCGACUUAUAUUCUGUAGCAAGGUUAACCGUAUAGGGGAGCCGUAGGGAAACCGAGUCUUAAC
rnacentral:rRNA from 2 species